rnacentral:lncRNA from 1 species
ACACGCUGCAACUGUUUAUUCCAGAAUCAGAGGUUGGAAACCCAACUGUAUAUAGACUGAAAGCAAAACAAAUACACAACUGAACACAAUAUAUGCAGUUAUCCAGCAAGACAGGCAACGCAACACAAUAUAUGCAGUUAUUGACAAGACAGGUGCACAGGCACAGCACACAGAGUGAGAUGAAGGCAGCCUAGCGAGCAGAGGCUCUGCAGCACGGAGGGCUGGGAAGGCCAUCGCUCGAGUUAAUCCAAUCCCAGUGCUUCAGGACACCUUGGGCCACGUUGACAUCUCUCUUUUCCUGGGAGGAGCCCUAGGGUACAGCUGCAUGGUUCCAUGGAGUUUCAGGCGUCUGCCAGCUCUGUUUCACUGUUUGUGGUUAAACUGCUUUCUCCUUUUUAAAAAAAAAUUUUUUGCCAGGUGCAGUGGCUCACGCCUGUAAUCCCAGCAUUUUGGGAGGCUGAGGUGGUUGGAUCACCUGAGGUCAGAAAUUCCAGCCUGACCGGCCCGAUCAACAUGGCGAAACCCGUCUCAACUAAGAAUACAAUUAGCCAGGCGCGGUGGCGCGCGCCUGUAAUCCCAGCUACUCCAGAGGCUGAGGCAGGAGAAUCGCUUGAACCCAGGAGGCGGAGGUUGCUGUGAGCCGAGAUCACGCCACUGAACUCCAGCCUGGGUGACAAAGUGAGACUCUGUCUCAAAAAAAAAAAAAAAAUUUGUAGAGACAGAGUCUCCCAUGUAGAAACUCCUGGACUCCAGCAAUCCUCCCACCUUGGCCUCCCAGUGUGCUGGGAUUAUAGGGCACGAGCCACCGUGCCUGGCCUCUCCUUUCUUUUUAAGGCAAGCUCAUGCCCACAGUGCAGUGCCAGAAUGGAGGGGGCUCCAUCACCCUGAGCACAGAGGGCUUCAUGGCGAGUGGAUGGGCCAGGGCCGUGUGAGAAGAAACCUGUCUGCCAAGGGUGACAGGGAAGUCUUCUGCGGGAGGCUCUUGGCUCUGGCCCCAA